rnacentral:rRNA from 1 species
GACGAACGCUGGCGGCGUGCCUAACACAUGCAAGUCGAGCGAGAAAGUGGGAGCAAUCCCAUGAGUACAGCGGCGACCGGGUGAGUAACACGUGGGCAACCUGCCCUCAGCUUCGGGAUAACACUUGGAAACAGGUGCUAAUACCGGAUAACAACUUGUCAUCGCAUGGUGGUGGGUUCAAAGUUUUUCGGCUGAGGAUGGGCCCGCGGCCUAUCAGCUUGUUGGGGGGUAAUGGCCUACCAAGGCGACGACGGGUAGCCGGCCUGAGAGGGCGACCGGGCCACACUGGGACUGAGACACGGCCCAGACUCCUACGGGAGGCAGCAGUGGGGAAUAUUGCGCAAUGGACGAAAGUCUGACGCAGCAACGCCGCGUGAGGGAUGACGGCCU